UUCUCUUUCUUAUUUUUCCAGGUUUUUAUCGUCCUCGCAAAUUAGGUCACAAUUUUCCUAGAUUAUAUGACAUUGUUGAAGGUGAAACGAUAGCGAAUGCGUUCCUCCAAUUAAAUCCUGACAAAAGAAUAGGUGCAGAAGAGGCGUUACAUCAUUCAUAUUUUGCCCAAUUACCAAAAAAAUUAUAUGAAUUGCCUGAUGAAACCUCCAUAUUUACGGUUGAAGGUGUGCAUUUGUAUCCGGAGCCCAAUAGACAGAGUAAAUGAAAAUUAAAGCAAGUCCUAUCAGUGGAUGGUGUACGUUUCUACUGUUAGCAGUAACAUUUAAAUACUAUUACAACAAGAUUAACUAAAACAACAUAAACUACUACGACAACAACAACAAAAACAGCCAUAAAAUGAUAUAUUAACAUUAAAAACCCAA